rnacentral:rRNA from 1 species
GGAAGGGAUGUAUUUAUUAGAUUAAAAACCAAUGCCCUUCGGGGCUCACUGGUGAUUCAUGAUAACUCCUCGAAUCGCAUGGCCUUGUGCCGGCGAUGGUUCAUUCAAAUUUCUUCCCUAUCAACUUUCGAUGUUUGGGUAUUGGCCAAACAUGGUUGCAACGGGUAACGGAGGGUUAGGGCUCGACCCCGGAGAAGGAGCCUGAGAAACGGCUACUACAUCCAAGGAAGGCAGCAGGCGCGCAAAUUACCCAAUCCCGACACGGGGAGGUAGUGACAAUAAAUACUGAUACAGGGCUCUUUUGGGUCUUGUAAUUGGAAUGAGUACAAUUUAAAUCCCUUAACGAGGAACAAUUGGAGGGCAAGUCUGGUGCCAGCAGCCGCGGUAAUUCCAGCUCCAAUAGCGUAUAUUAAAGUUGUUGUGGUUAAAAAGCUCGUAGUUGAACCUUGGGCCUGGCUGGCCGGUCCGCCUCACCGCGUGUACUGGUCCGGCCGGGCCUUUCCCUCUGUGGAACCCCAUGCCCUUCACUGGGUGUGGUGGGGAACCAGGACUUUUAC